rnacentral:rRNA from 1 species
UACGGGGGGGGGCAAGCGUUGUUCGGAAUUACUGGGCGUAAAGGGCUCGUAGGCGGCCAACUAAGUCAGACGUGAAAUCCCCAGGCUCAACCUGGGAACUGCGUCUGAUACUGGAUGGCUUGAAUCCGGGGAGAGGGAUGCAGAAUUCCAGGUGUAGCGGUGAAAUGCGCAGAUAUCAGGAAGAACACCCGUGGCGAAGGCGGUUCUCUGGGACGGUACUGACGCUGAGACGCGAAAGCUAGGGGAGCAAACGGG